GUGUAAAUAGUUAGCGUUAAGAAAAAACUAUAUGUACGACAAAAAAUCCCCAAAACUACGUUAAUAAUGCAACGAUCAUUUGAAAUGAGCCCAACGAUUGUACUAAAUCUAGCUUGAAAAUAAACUAGAAGAGCUAAUUACGCUGCAAAGUGUCUGUCAUUCUCAUUCGCUGUUCAUCACAUUCGCACACACCCCGAAUUGCUAUUUCCGCCGAUCAGAACGUUCGAGCCUUCGUUGCAGCUGGUUGUAAGAAGCUGAUCGUCGACCACCUUAUCGUGCAAGAAAGGCACUGAUGUUUCCACCAUAAGGAACGAGCACGCUACAAUAAGAUCGUAAGUUGGCCAUUCAUUGCGAAAGAAUUACGCAGUUCACGGACCCCGUAACUACCCAACAGAUUUUAUUCCACGAUAACCGGCAAGAAGAUCAGCGGUACCUGUGAGAGCAACGUGAGGCUGGGAUGAGCAAGCCUGCUCCGUAUCUGCAAAAAGCAUCGUAAGUGGACAUAAUCUCUAUGACAACCGUCAGACCCCAAUUGCACAAUAUCGGUUCACAGAUCUCCACCGGCUCGGUCGAUCUACCAUCUCCGGUGCAGCAGCACGCGGUAGAGAAUUAUCAACACACGGGGCUGGAUAGUCUUGAGCAAACGCAAUCAACGCACGAGGUUGGAUCCGAGGGGACGCCGGACAAUUCACGGCAAAUAUCCUGCAAACCGGGAAGCAGUAGUGACCGGAAGACGAUUUUCCGGAUAAACCCACAAGAGGCCAGUGUUGUCCGACGGGAGACAGUUCGGAACAUUCGAGGUCCACUAUACGAUAGUUACCCCACGGGGGCACUCAGGAGCUCACGAGCCAACUCCUCUGUCGACGCCACCGCAGUGUAGAGCGGGCCAUCACACUAACACCCGUACGCAAGCGAACGAACGAAGCCUUUCCAUAACAGGAGGGCUUCGUUUGCAGGGGUCGAGUUGCACGUCGCAUCGAGUAAGAUCUGGUGUAAGCAGGAGAGCCAACGAGAGACGCUCGCCACUCGGAGCGACGUAGGAAGCCGUCGGGGAAAACAUCACCGCAAAUCGUUGGUUCAGUGACGACAGUGAUCAAGCGAGGUUUAAGCUACGCGAGUGUGCAUCGGUGCAUCGGACAAUGCUGUUCCCGUAGCGGUGUGUGUGCGCUUGUGAGUAAUUGCGAACCGUGACGUCGUGUUGUGGACGGCAGCCGCGACGGUGAGCGCCAACGACGUCGCCGGCAACGAGAGUUGUGAGCAGCACACUAGGGUAGCAUGUUACAGAACGGGCCCGUGAGUAAACAACGAUAUUGUAUUUAUGAUAAGAAAACGAAACUGAGUCAGGAGGCACAUUAGGGAAGCAGUUUAGGCCAGACGAUGCUGGAACGUAUGUUGGGAAAAAUAAAUGUAGCAUAAGCAUGAAAUUUGUGGCAUGUGUUUUGGGAUUGCAUCGCUUGUAAGCUGAGCUAAUCGGCGAUCGAUUGGUCCUUGAUCCAACGAUCGGAAAACCC